UCUCUCUCUCACUCUCUCUCUCUCUCAUUCUCUCUCUCUCACUCUGAUGGCUCGUCGUCUCCUUCCUGCCACCACCGCCACCAUCGUUGCCUCUGCCUCUACUGCUACCGCUGAUCUUGCAGCAGUUCGCGAAUGGAGUCGCGGCACAUCCACCGUGAACGUCGUUCGAGGUAUGCGGCUCGGCUCGGCUUGACUCGACUCGACUCAAUUCGACUCGUCUCGUCUCGUCUCGUCUCGUCUCGUCUUGUCUCAUCUCUCGUCUUAUCUUCUUACUUCCUACCUCGUUGGAUUUUCUCGGAAGGAAAAAAAAAAAGAGAGAUAAGCGCAAUAGUUUCGCGCGUGAGGAAGCUAUUUCGAAAGGUUCCUCGACUUUUGCCACCAAUACAAUGGGGACGAACUAUCGAGAACGUCGACAAAAUAAUGGAACGAACGACCACACGUCAGGAGAUCCAGGAAGUAAUCGCACCUAUUCCAAAGAUCGUCCGAACGAGAUGAAGAAGACACUUACCUGAUGAGCAGUCGACUGAAGGAGAGCGAUAAAGCUGUCUUCCUCGUAAUACAGAGAAAAGAAAUCAGGGCCGUCCUUUGAACGAUGAUCAGCAGUUUCUAGACUCAGAGAUAUUAUUAUCUCGGGCUGUUGCAUGACAGUAUCAAACGACCUUGGAUUCGAUCAGCAAACAUCUUCCAAUCUUCGAUGCCGCUCGAUGAAGUUUCGACGAAGUAUGUGAAACCCCCUGUACGUAUACUGAAUGUAUCCUGAGUGUAUUCCUGUCCGGUAUACCUUCAGUAUACGUAACAGGAGGCUACACCGGUCUACGAUGGAUCUCUCUCUUCGAUUGGAUCAUCAUCAUCCUCGUCAUCCGGAUCGUAUCUUCGUAAUCGCUUAAUCAUCUUCGACGUAACACUUCUAUAAUUGAUUUGUGCGCAAUUAGAAGUUAAGUCGAUCGCGUAAUUAGAAAAUAGACGUUGUAUAUACUCGUGAUCGUUUAUAUAAGAGAAAAUUAAACAUUGUACUAGGUUAAACUCGAUAAACCGAUGUAUCCGUUUCGCAUGCUCCUCGAAUGUAAUUUCUACGAUUUGUUCUUGUCGAAGCAAUUCUGAUCUUUUUUUUAUCAGCUAAGAGUUAUAUAUUAAAACCGAAGAUUUAUUUACAAUGUAAGUACUUUUUAAGAGAGCUUAUAAAAACGUGCGUGAUAAUAUUAUUAUUUUUGCGUUCGCGUGACCUUUCUAUCAACGAAACUACAUGGACAUGAAUUAAUUCUUAUCGAACGACGAAUGUAAUAAAAAUCGACGUCUACGUACUUAAAUACGAUGCUUUGCGCGAGCCACAACAUGCGUGAUUAAUGAUGAUGAAUAUUUGAAUAAACUCUACGUUAAAUUGAAA